rnacentral:rRNA from 1 species
GCAUUACNAAGCGAAACUGCGAAUGGCUCAUUAUAUAAGUUAUCGUUUAUUUGAUAGUACCUUACUACAUGGAUAACCGUGGUAAUUCUAGAGCUAAUACAUGCUGAAAAUCCCGACUUCGGAAGGGAUGUAUUUAUUAGAUUCAAAACCAAUGCCCUUCGGGGCUCCAAUGGUGAUUCAUGAUAACUUCUCGAAUCGCACGGCCCCGCGCCGGCGAUGGUUCAUUCAAAUUUCUUCCCUAUCAACUUUCGAUGCUACGGUAGUGUCCUAGCAUGGUUGCAACGGGNANGGGGNAUNGNCNGNANGGGGCAUCGGGGGNUCGGGGCCGUGCGAUUCGAGAAGUUAUCAUGUNUCCAUUGGAGCCCCGAAGGGCAUUGGUUUUGAAUCUAANAAAUANUCCUUCGAAGUGGGAUUUUNGCAUGUAUUAGCUCNGANUUACACGGUUAUCCAUGUAGUANGGUAUAUNAAUAAAGAUAACUUAUAUAANGNGCAUUGGUNUNGUUAUUGCUUAUACUUAGUACANGCNUGGNUUAAUCUUNGAGACAUAUGANUACA